AACUGUGGUUUCAAGCAUUUGGACUGCCUGCCUGAGGUAGAGAAGUGCUGGCAGGGUCAUUCCCUCUUCUGCAUGGAAGAAGAGGAGGUGAAGAGCUGCUCAGGAGUGUGGUCAACAUGCCUCAAACUGCUAGCAUCUGCAGGCAGUGGGCUAAACAGGCCCAGCUCUCUUAGGGCAAUCUGCAGCAGUUGUCUGUUCAGUGCAUGGCCCCCAAACCCACAGAUGGGUAUCCCUGCUCUCCACGAGUGCUUCGUUAUGGCCUGUGCCUCUGUAAGGAUGAGGCCACUGUACCCUCUGCUCUGCACAACAUCUGUGUUGGAGCAGGAUCCAGUGAAGUCAAAAUGCACCCUUGGAGGCUGCAGUAAAGUAACUUCAAGACAUUUAUUGAGACUACAUCACAAAGAGAACAUCUGCAGCCAUGCAAAAAUAGAUAAAGAAGAUGGAUAUGUUAACAUAGGAAUGCAUCUCCAUCCAGAACAUAAGCAUUAAGAUAAAAGUUUAAGAUAAUUUAGACUUUCCAAGAUUACAUGCCCAAAUUCCAGUCUUAAAUUACUAAUUGGAGAGACCACAGUUACUGAAAGAUAAAUAUUUUGACUUCCAGUAACUGUAGAAUGAUGAACUAAAACUAUUAAUAAUGAGGAAGUAUGGUAAAAGAAAUAUAACAGCAAUUAUUAAAACAAACUUUUAGUUUGAUUCCUAUUUAGUAACCAUGCUUGUGGAUUUGCUGUUCUGAAUUGGUGUUGAUGGAGAAAAAGUACUUGUUAAGAACUGUUAAUGGAGUUUUAUCAACUUGCGAUUA